rnacentral:lncRNA from 1 species
UCUGGCUCCGCCCUCGGGGCAACCCCGCACCUGUCAGUUUCCUCAUCUGCACAAGGCAGUGGCGUGUCAAAUAGGGCCUGCUUCCCAUGGUUGUGCUGCUGAGCCAAUGGGAUGUCGUAAGCUCAAUACGACGCCUGCGGCUCAGGAGUAGUUCAGUCAACGACCCCACCUCACCCCUAGGUUGAAUUACUCCUGUGCCCCGGGCAUCCUAUUAAGCAUUGCAUAGCACAUCCGGUUCAAUCUCCCUUUUGCAGAUGAGGAAGCUGAUAGACUGCAGCCCAGGAGCUGAGCUCGGGCUGAACCCCAGGCCUGGUCCUGCCCCUUGGCCAGUGCUCCUUGCAGGGGACAAGCUGUGGCAACAAGACCGGUGGCCCUGACAGCCGGGGAGAGACAGGACAGGCGCGGCCAGCGCCGCUCCAAAUGCAGCUCUCCAACCAGUCUGUCCACGGGGGAGGAGUGGCAGGCCCAUGCAUCUGGAAGACGUCAGGAGUGGGCCCAUGGCUUCAGCAGGUUCAAGCAAGAGCAAAUCUCAGCAUUUGGGCGGAAGGAUACUUUGGAAGAAGCCUCGCUCUUCAGUGCUGGCUUUGCAUCUGUGAGGAGCAGAGGCUGCAGCAGGUAGCAAGGUACUCUGUGGAACCUGAGAAUGAAGGGAAACUGAGUCCCAAAGACAUUAUUUGAGCUCUGAGCUGCCUAGGGCCACUCGGUAGAAGCUGAUCAUGAAACCAGUACAGAGUGGAGUGGAGAAGUGGAGAAAAAUGAGCUAUGUUGACAUCAUCUGAGCCUUGAAUCUGGCAAUGCCCGCGGCCAGUUAUACUCUGGAUGUUUCAUGUUGGGGCCAAUACAUUCACUUCAACCCCAAUAAACCAGUUGGAAUUAGAAAUUUUGGGCCUUUGUAAUAAAAAGAAUCCUAGUCAAAACACAAUACUACUUGUCAAUUGAACUACUCACUGUUUCCAUAAUAGAGUCCAUGUUUUCCAGCUCUAUGCUUUGGUUCCCAACUGUUCCUUUUCUGGAAUAUUCCCCUCCUCAACUGUCUUCUUUAUCUUUGCAUGUCCAAAUAUGACCCAUCCUUCAAAUGUCAGGUCUUCCAGGUAGCCUUCUGUGCACGUUAAGAAUAAGCAUGAUGAGGGAAGUGGAUGUGGCUCAAGCAGUUGAGUGCCCGC